CUGUCGCGUGUCAUACGAUUAUUGUUAUCAUACAGCCUUUAGAGUUACCGAUUUUCUUGGCCACAGCGAGGGGGAUCGGAAUGCUAUCCGGCGUGAAAGAUAUUCUGGCGAAAGCCAAGGAAGCCAAAGAUGACUUCAAGACAACUGUGGCACCGGAGCUGGACCGCAGUCGACAACGACUGGCCGAGCAGCUCAAGAAAUCGGCACAAUCAGUGAAGAAAUACACUACACGACUGCCAUCGACAGUGUCAGACCCGAGUAUGU